GCUGGAUCCAUGCAGUGUAUAUACACAGUACACAGUGAGUGCUGGAUCCAUGCAGUGUAUAUACACAGUACACAGUGAGUGCUGGAUCCAUGCAGUGUAUAUACACAGUACACAGUGAUUGGAUCCAUGCAGUGUAUAUACACAGUACACAGUGAUUGGAUCCAUGCAGUGUAUAUACACAGUACACAGUGAUUGCUGGAUCCAUGCAGUGUAUAUACACAGUACACAGUGAGCUGGAUCCAUGCAGUGUAUAUACACAGUACACAGUGAGUGCUGGAUCCAUGCAGUGUAUAUACACAGUACACAGUGAU